CUACGGGAGGCAGCAGUGGGGAAUCUUGCACAAUGGGGGAAACCCUGAUGCAGCGACGCCGCGUGAGCGAUGAAGCCCUUCGGGGUGUAAAGCUCUUUCGGCAGGAACGAUAAUGACGGUACCUGAAGAAGAAGCUGCGGCUAACUACGUGCCAGCAGCCGCGGUAAUACGUAGGCAGCAAGCGUUGUUCGGAGUUACUGGGCGUAAAGAGUGUGUAGGCGGUUUCGUAAGUUUGGUGUGAAAUCUCCCGGCUUAACUGGGAGGGUGCGCCGAAUACUGCGAGGCUCGAGUGCCGGAGAGGUAAGCGGAAUUCCUGGUGUAGCGGUGAAAUGCGUAGAUAUCAGGAGGAACACCGGUGGUGUAGACGGCUUACUGGACGGCCACUGACGCUGAGACACGAAAGCGUGGGUAGCAAACAGGAUUAGAUACCCCGGUAGC
rnacentral:rRNA from 1 species